rnacentral:lncRNA from 1 species
UUGAACUCAGGAUCAAGAGGUUUUAUGAGUUCUGUUGCCAUAACACAAAUCACAUCCAGCAAUUCACUAAAAUAUCUGCUAACAGUCUCGCCAGAAUGUUGGAACCGCUCUUGUACAUUCCUAUUUCCUGCACCUUCUCCUAAAGUAUAUAAAAACAUUCCCAACUUCUCGGCAAUACAAAUUCUCCGAGAACCCUUCAGCUUAUAAAUAUUCUCUAAAUCAUUACACAAUCUCAUAAAUACAUCUUUAUUCAUGCGAAACAUGUUAUGACAACGACUCUCAUUCCCUUCCAACAAUUUCAUCAACCAAAUGUUGCCAGUGUAGGAAGAAUCCAUACAUGGAAUUUUAUGAAUAUAUUUUUCAUAGUAUAGUUCAAUAAUAGAAGCACAAACACAAAUAAUUCGGUUAAUUUCCUCCUCCUCCUCUGCCAAAAUGUCCAUAUUCAUAACCUGCAUUGUUUUAAAUAAUAUAUCAAGUAUCAUCCAGUUAUAUAUGCAAACAACUAAGGCAUAUAAAAAUGAAAAGUACUAAUGAUCAAACACGUAAUACUUAUUAAAAUUCAAAAGUACAAAGUGUCAGGAUCAAAAAUUUAAACAAAAUGAAAACCAUAAUGCAAAAUAAUAAGAACACGCUGCACUAAAGAAAGAUGAUGCAUGACGUAAUUGAUAACUGUGCAACAACCAUGAGGGUACGUAUAUCUACUUAUUGUAUUCCCUUUCUUGAUUACGAAGAAUAAAUUGAAGCUUCAUCUCAGGGUCUUUCAUCACAGAAAACAUUUCCCUCUUUUCUUGUGAGCAAAAUAGCUCAGUUGCAAACCACCACAGUGGACUACCAAUUUCCAUUCCUGACAAACCUUCAACUACCUUCAUCACUUCAGACACACUGCUAUAUUGUGAACCAUUAAUCAACGCUGAUGAUGCAGUACUCCUUGUCUCAACUACCUCAACAAGACGAUUAAUUGUAGGAUAAUUUGCAGCACCUCCUAUUUUCCUUUUCCUUCUAAUGUUUGUGUGUCAAGCUGCUCGUUUGUUCUCUUUUUACCCAUCUCUUUAUAAAAUUGAGUUACCUCUGCAAUUUCAUUAGGAUUGGGCUCCUCUGAAUCACCACUAACUUCUAGUGGAAUAACAUCAUCAUGAACACUCAUAGUUUUGAGGGGGUGGUAGACCAGAUGAAGGUGUCCAUGCAUAUUUUCCAGUAGCUACAGCACCAUUGAACAUCAUAUCUAACUUUGCCUCCAUUUCAGGAUUAAUGCCUCUAACCCUCAAUUUUGCAUAUUGAGGAUUUAUCUACAUUUUAUAGAAAUUGUAACUGUCAGUACAGAAACAUAAUACUAAAGUAAAUAUAAAGUAAUGAAAUGUAUCAUAAUCUACCUGUAUUUUAUUUUUCCACCAUUCCUCAGAUGCAUCAACAGUGUUCUUAGUAGGAUUCCAACCUAGGCCAGUGUCCUUCCCAAUUAGAUCUUUCCAUAUCUUUCAUUCUUUUUUCAGCAAAUCCCACUUGUUCUUCAAUUGUGAUUUGUCAUAAUUGUUUCCAGUCUCCGCAUGAAAGUUUGCAACCAAACUUGACCAUCCUUCUUUGCUAAAGUGAGUGCCGGGGCGUUGUCCUUUUUCCCACCUCUUUGAUACACAAGUCACAAAAAAUUGCUACACUUUGAGGAUUCCAGGUAGCAGUUUUGGAUCCACCUUGCCCAUUUUCAAGGUUGGUCAUCUCAGUAGUGUUGUCAUUAGUGAUC